rnacentral:rRNA from 1 species
UUACGGAGAGUUUGAUCCUGGCUCAGGAUGAACGCUGGCGGCGUGCCUAAUACAUGCAAGUCGAACGAGGCCCUCUGUACUUGUACGGAGGUGUCCUAGUGGCGAACGGGUGAGUAACACGUAGGCGACCUGCCCCGAAGCGGGGGAUAACCUCUGGAAACGGAGGCUAAUACCCCAUACGCUCCAUGGUGUUAGAGGACCACGGAGGAAAGGAGCAAUCCGCUUUGGGAGGGGCCUGCGGCCCAUCAGCUAGUUGGUAGGGUAAUGGCCUACCAAGGCUACGACGGGUAGGGGGCCUGAGAGGGUGGUCCCCCACACUGGCACUGAAACACGGGCCAGACACCUACGGGUGGCAGCAGUAGGGAAUAUUGCCCAAUGGACGAAAGUCUGAGGCAGCAACGCCGCGUGCGCGAUGAAGGCCUUCGGGUUGUAAAGCGCUUUUCUGGGGGAAGAGGAAGGACGGUACCCCAGGAAUAAGUCUCG